GGGAGUCCGGGAAGGAGAUGGGGGUAAGGAUUGUUGCAGUCUCUCUCUUCCUCUUGUUGGCCGGAUUUUUGUUUUUUUUUUUCAGUCUAACCGUUAAAAAACGGUUAUAUAUAUAUAUAUNUAUAUAUAUAUAAUUUACUAAUGGCUAUCUAUAGGAAAUUGAGUUUUUAAAUUUUUUUUUUACCCUCAACAACAUCUAUAAGUAUACACACGCUUUAACCUUCAUACCCAAGCCUCCUUUUAUCAAUUUAUGUCUACUUUAUUCAAAAAAUUGAAUCCCGACAAUCAAACCCCAAACUAGGGGUGAGCGUGGUGCGGUUAUUAGCUAAAACCUCACCACUAACCGCAAAUGUGAUUAAUCCAUUUUCAAAACCGUCUGGUACGAUUAUUUUUGCGGUGCGGUUUUGUUUUUUCAGUGUUGCAGUUAUUAACCGCAUGGAUUUGGUGCGGUUAUUUUGUGUAGUUUUUAACUACAGUUUAGAGCUCAAACGGUUUUAAAAGUUCAAACAUAUUACUUGUAAUAAUUAAAAAACCAUAAUAUAUAAGACAAUUAACUUAAAUCUCAAACAAUUAAUAUCUUAAAAACGUCAAAUCAAUAGUAAUUAACAAUAAAUUUCUUAAAAUUGUCUAAUUUCACUAUUUUUCAAAGUUAAACAUAACAAAAAACCAUACUUUUGUUUUCUAGUAUUUUAUUCACCUUUCAUUCAUUAAACUUAUUUUAUUUUUUAAAUUUAAUAUAUUAAUAAUUAAUAAAAAAAAGUUGUAUAUAAUAUAUGCGGUGUGGUGCAAUUUUUUAUGCAGUUUUUGAAAACUAAUAACCGCAUCGCACCAUAAAUUGCGGUUUUUGAAAAACAGAAAACCUCACCAUCGGUUUUUAUUGCGGUUAGGGUUUAUCGGUUGCGGUUUAUGCAGUUUUGCAGUUAAUUUUAGUUGUGGUGCGGUUUUUGCUCACCCCUACCCAAACUUCGAAAAGAAAGGAAAAAAAACAAUGUUUCGAGUUCAAGCACCGCAACUCAAAACAUUUUCGCUAUCGAUUCAUCUCAAGGGGUUUAUCGUCUACAACUUGAUGCUCUCAUUCAAUCUCCAUUACAAUUUCAAUACCAAAAUAUUAGGCAAUUACCUGAUGCAAGUUCCAAAUGUUACCCCAAAUAUGUUAUCAAACUUUGUUGUUUUUCCCGAUCAACUUUCGCCUAAUCAACCCCAAACUCAAAUCUCACUCUUUCAAUCUCAAACCAAAACCCAAACCCAACCCUCUCAAUCUCAACCACAAUACCAAAUCUUCGAUGAGUCGGAUGAAGAGAUUGUACAGGAAACUCAACCCCCCCCCCACACACACACACACACGCCGCAAAGGAAAACAACAAGUAAAUGAGGGUGUCGCACAACCAGGAAGACAGAAGCCGCAAGCAUGGACUCCACAAGAAGAGAUAUGUAACAUCCGGAUUUUCAGAGGUAUUAUGGUGUAAGUUAAUCUUCUGAUUAAAGGAGAGACUCAACGAGUUGAGGGUCCAACUCGCCGAGUCGGGUUGGGUUUCUCCCGUGGAUUUAAUGAGUGGACUCGACGAGUCCGAGAAGGGACUCGCCGAGUAAGUGUUGGGUAGAGAAACCCUAAUCUCCAGGGUUUGGGACCUAUUUAAAGGCACUUAUAGCCUCCUUGGCCCCUUCCCAACAGUGUCUCCGUCCCUUGAAAGAAACCCUAGAGUUAUUUAUGAGCUAGAGAGGAAAGAGGCUUCUUGGAGGUCAUUUCUUUGAGAAGAUGAUCAAGGGAGUUGCAAGGAUCUCAGAGGAGAGUUGGUGGAUCAGUCUCAUCUUCAUUUCAAGCUUCAAAUCUGGUACAACUCUUGCCUCCCUUGUGUUUGAAUAGAUUUCCUUGGUUGCAAAGUUGGACUUGUAUCCAUAUUGAUGGGGUUUUGGGUGCAUCCAAACCCUUUUUCGAAUCAAUUGCAGAUUUGGACCUUGUGAGGUCCAGAGAUCCAGAAAGUAGGCAGCCAUGAGUGAGUAACCUUGGAGCUUUAAAGCUAUGGAGCUUUAAUGGAGUCAAAAUGGUGUAUAGAGCAAAAUACACCAUGCAUGAGCCUCAAGUUCAAACCUUUGCGUGACUUUUGGGUAGUAGGAGGUUAGAUCUAUGAGUUUGGGUUGCAGAUCUGACCUCAAAUAGCUGAAUGAGAAAUCUGUGGGAGCCAACUCGCCGAGUCCAUGGGUGACUCGACGAGUCAUAGCGGGUUUGACCGAGUAGCCUUAACCCAUUGUUGGCUCGCCAAGUUGGGAGUCAACUCGACGAGCUGAGUGAGUCCUGGGUAGAGUUCAAUUGAUGCGAGGGGACUCGACAAGUCGCAUGGGUGCACUCGACGAGUAGGGUCAAAUGUGGACUUUUGACUUGAGCUUGACUUCUGUUGACUUUGGGGUUUUGGUCAACAUAAGUAAUAGAGGCCUUAGAAGGGUAAAAUGGUCUUUUACCCACUUUUAGAGAGUUAGAAAGAGAAGGAACCGCCUUCGAUUAUCUGAGUCGUGAAAAAGAGUUAUUAUAAGAGAUAUUCAUCCUAUGUGUUAGGCGGUGGCGAGUUCGAGAUUCAAGUGUGAGGAUAGCUGCUUUCUGCUUGUCAAGUGAGUCUUCUCACUAUACUUUACCUAUAGUGGUAAUUAGAGUUAUGUGGCAGAGUAUUUUGUAUGCUAUUUAUGUGAUGUGAUGCACUGCAUUAUUUCUAUGUGAUUUAUGUUGUGUGUGUGUGUAUUACAGAGUUUAAAGAGUUAGACCGAAAGGUCCAUAGAGUUAGGACCAGAGGGUCCACAAAGUUAGGACCAGAUGGUCCAUAGAGUUAUAGCCUCUAGUGGCUAAUACGUGUUUUAUGUGGUAUCUUGGGGAACUCACUAAGCUUCGUGCUUACCGUAUUAUGUGUUAUGUGUUUCGGGUUCUUAGGAUCGCGGGACGGCACCGAUUGAUUGUACACACUAGAUAAAGAGUUAUGAGGAUCCUUUAUUAUUAAUUACUAAAACAUGGAGUUGUGUUUUGUGAAUUGAACAAAUGAAAUUUUAAUAAAAUGUGUCAUGAGGAUUUAUAUGAUUUUAAAUUUCAAAAAUUUCUUUUGAAAAUUUACAUUGUUACAAGAUAAUUGUGGUAAAAGCUUGGGUUGACAUUUUAGAAGAUUUAACGACGGGAAAUACACAACCAGGAGAUCAUUUUUGGUUUUGCAUUCUUGAGAUGUUUCGCAAGGAGAUAGGAAAAGGUGACAAAUGUUGUACCAAUCAUCAAUUGAAUUUAAAGUUUCGAAAAAUAGCGAAGCCGUUUCAAAAAUGAAUGGGUUGUACAAAAACCUAAAAUUUCAACCGGAAAACGGCCAAGGAGAUAAAAAUGGACUCUAAUAGUUAUACAACUUCCUUUUCUACGGAAAUAUUUAUAAUUUUGUAAGUAAAAUCCGUAGAAAAAAAACGGAUUACGCAAAAAUAGUAUCCACACUCUAUAUGUUCCAUUUUGUAAGUAAAACCAAAUCCGAUUUUUUUUAUUAAAAAAAUACAAAAACAUAAACAAUUUUGCAUUUUAGAAUAAAAACGUUGUCUGUUUUCUACUUUUUAUUUUAUUAUUAUUAUUAUUAUUAUUAUCUGGCUCUGUAUCAUUUAAUAAUAAAUAUUUUACUAAAGAGAGAUAUAUACAAAUACACAUGUUUAUUAUUUUAGUUUUCAACAGAAAUAAUGAAAUCAUAUUAAUAACUUUUAAAUAUUAAAAUACUUAAUCAAUAAAAUCUUUAUAGCCAAUUUCAGUAUUUACGAUUCGAUUCUUUUAAUUUUAUACAUAGAAAAGAAAACCAUGGUUAAGAAGAUUAAUAGGAACAAAAGAUAGGAGGAUAUUAAAAAAAAAAUCACCAGAAACUUGAAUAUAAGUUUUAGUUUAGAUUAGAUGACUCUAAUCAACUAGCCGACAUUCCAAACCGCAAUAAUACUAUACUUAUAAGAACGCAAAAGCAAUAAGCAAUUUUUUUACAUCGUCCAAAACUGACUUUCUUUCGCUACUUCUACCGAUAAACCAUUACUAUCUAUGUUAAACAGCUAACCUAUUCACAAAUCACAAUCAUAUGAUCCUAUAUCGAAAUCUUACCAAAAGGAGUAUCUGAGGGAUAAAAAUAGCGUUGUGGAUGACAUGUAUAAAUUUAGGAGUAAUGGGUUCAUGUGUGAGCCGUUUUAAAAAAACAUCAUAACAAAAAUUCUCAUUUACGAAACAAAAAUUAACCGAUCUAAUGUUUAUAGAAAGAAUAGAAGUUUAAAAAAAAAAUCAUAAGAAUUAUAAGAAAAAACAGAAAAGAUUUUAAUGUGGGGGUGAAAGUUCAUCGCUGUUUUUACCUUUCCCCCGAAGCAUAUCAGUAAAACCACCUCGCAUGAUUCUCCUGAAUCUUGUGUCUUCAACGGGUGAUUGUGGGGUAAUGACAGUUUUCGGGUCGGGUGGUGGUGGUGGUGGGAUUUCUCCUGAAUCCUUCUUUCCUAAAAGUCCACCUUCACUGAAGAAACUUGUCAUGGAGGUCGGGAGUCCAAAUUGAGUCCCCAUGACUUUGCUAAAUGCAUCAAAAGUUCCACUGGAUCUCUCUUUUACUAUCACUUCUAGCGCCUCUUUAUGUGCUGGGUCGAGCGCUUCUGUGUCUUUCAAUAGGUUUUGUAUUGUUGGCAGGAGGAGAUCGCGUACACUCGCUGAUGAAAGAUCUGCAAGGAGAGGAGGACAUUUUCGUAAUUUUACUUUCGGUUAUUUAUUAUUUUAGUAAAUGAAAGUAGACCUGUAGCAUCGAGAGCACGGAUAGCUUCGCAAAAUGCGUUGGCUCGAUCGCGGCGUCGCACCAUGUUGGUUACGGGGAGUUGAGCUGAAGAAAGAUGAAAUAUUUUUGAUAACAAAUGUGCUCUUUUGUCAAAGAAAAUUAAAAUUAAAAAGUUAUUUUGAUACAUAAUAUAAAUGUAUAAUUAUAGAUUAAAGGAUAUAAUCUUUUAGGCUCUCGGUUGUGUGUGGAACAGCAACUACUAAUGCACGAAUAACAGCAAUUGUAGCUUCAUGAGAUCCAUCUUCAAGAAAAGCGUCCAUUUGAACACGAAUUUUGUCA
rnacentral:lncRNA from 1 species